UAACGAUUACAUAUGUGAUGCACAAGCUU
rnacentral:sRNA from 1 species